rnacentral:lncRNA from 1 species
UUUUGCAUUGAAUAAGCACACAAUUGAACAACUUUUAAGAGGUUCACAUUAUAUAUAUACCCACCUACCUAGUGAAAUAUCACCAUUAGAAGAAGAGCAUUCUUUCCUCAAAAUCAUGGAUAUGAAAAACCUCUUGAUUAUUUUGCUUAUUUUCUCAUUUGUUUUUGGUAAGAGUUAUGAUACUUGAUUUUUUGUUGUUGUGAAUUUUUACGAAUUUCUUAUUUAUUAAUUUAACUAUAGUAUGAAUUUAUUUGUGCAGGAAAGCCUGUGGCAUUCAAAAUUCCGAAGCCAAAAAAGUGCAAAUUUGUUGAACCUGGUUAUUGUGAAAUUUGGAGGGGUUUCUUUUGCCAAGAAUUUUGCAUGAUUAAUUGUCCAUCAUUUACUGCGAAAGGAGUCUGUACCAAAGACAAAGCUUGUCAUUGUUCUUGUUGUAGAUAAAAUGUUAUUUACGACAAUGGAAUAUUCACUAUGUCAAUUGUAAGCUAAUAAUAAAUAAAUUAAUAAAAUGCUUCCAUUGCUCUAGGUCCAAUUUUUUUUCUUCUGUAAUCCAACAAUAAUCAUGCUGUGAAACUAUUUAAAUUGCAGACACAAUUUGAC